CAGGUACUCCAAAUGGGCGCGUCGGUCGACAAAAGGAUUGAAGAUUGAGAGCUCUUUCUUGAUCUUUUGGAUGGUGGUGCAUGGCCGUUCUUAGUUGGUGGAGUGAUUUGUCUGCUUAAUUGCGAUAACGAACGAGACCUCGGCCCUUAAAUAGCCCGGUCCGCGUUUGCGGGCCGCUGGCUUCUUAGGGGGACUAUCGGCUCAAGCCGAUGGAAGUGCGCGGCAAUAACAGGUCUGUGAUGCCCUUAGAUGUUCUGGGCCGCACGCGCGCUACACUGACAGGGCCAGCGAGUACAUCACCUUGGCCGAGAGGUCCGGGUAAUCUUGUUAAACCCUGUCGUGCUGGGGAUAGAGCAUUGCAAUUAUUGCUCUUCAACGAGGAAUGCCUAGUAGGCACGAGUCAUCAGCUCGUGCCGAUUACGUCCCUGCCCUUUGUACACACCGCCCGUCGCUACUACCGAUUGAAUGGCUCGGUGAGGCCUUCGGACUGGCCCAGGAGGGUUGGCAACGACCCCCCAGGGCCGGAAAGUUGGUCAAACCCGGUCAUUUAGAGGAAGUAAGCCUAAAAAAAGGGUUAUCGGUGCCGGGGGGAGGGGGGCCCCCUUCCGGCGGGAGGCCCCCUCGUCAGGGGAGCCAACCACCCUCACUGUCCUAUGCGCGCGCGCCGUUCAGUGAGGCGCAUCUUGCGUCAAUUACUUUCUCCUAAAAAAAGUCCCCCCGGGACUUCCUCUCUCGGUUGGUCUGCGGGUCGCCCCAACAUAGA
rnacentral:rRNA from 1 species